rnacentral:rRNA from 1 species
GGGUCAGUAGGUUGGUCGUGCCACCGGUACGUACUGGUCUCACUGAAUCCUCCUUCCUGAAGAACCGUAAUGCCAUUAAUUUGGUGUUGCGGGGAAACAGGACUGUUACUUUGAACAAAUUAGAGUGUUUAAAGCAAGCUAACGCUUGAAUACAUUAGCAUGGAAUAAUGGAAUAGGACGAUCGAUCCUAUUUUGUUGGUUUCUAGGAUUGACGUA